GACGGAGGAUGCAAGUGUUAUCCGGAAUCACUGGGCGUAAAGCGUCUGUAGGUUGUUUAAAAAGUCUGCAGUUAAAGGUUGAAGCUUAACUUCAAAAAUGCCGUAGAAACUUUUAAACUAGAGGAUGGUAGGGGUAGAGGGAAUUUCCAGUGGAGCGGUGGAAAUGUGUAGAUAUUGGAAAGACCACCGAUGGCGAAGGCACUCUACUGGGCCAUGACUGACACUGAGAGACGAAAGCUAGGGGAGCAAAUGGG
rnacentral:rRNA from 1 species